rnacentral:rRNA from 1 species
UCGGGAAUUUUGGGCAAUGGGCGAAAGCCUGACCCAGCAACGCCGCGUGAGGGAUGAAGUAUUUCGGUAUGUAAACCUCGAAAGAAUGGGAAGAAUAAAUGACGGUACCAUUUAUAAGCUCCGGCUAACUACGUGCCAGCAGCCGCGGUAAUACGUAGGGAGCAAGCGUUGUUCGGAUUUACUGGGCGUAAAGGGCGCGUAGGCGGCGCGGUAAGUCACUUGUGAAAUCUCUGAGCUUAACUCAGAACGGCCAAGUGAUACUGCUGUGCUAGAGUGCGGAAGAGGCAACCGGAAUUCUUGGUGAAGCGGUGAAAUGCGUAGAUAUCAAGAGGAACACCUGAGGCGAAGGCGGGUUGCUGGGCCGACACUGACGCUGAUGCGCGAAAGCCAG